rnacentral:rRNA from 1 species
CAAGUCGAACGGUGAAGCCCCGCUUGCGGGGUGGACAGUGGCGAACGGGUGAGUAACACGUGAGCAACCUGCCCCUGACUCUGGGAUAAGCGCUGGAAACGGCGUCUAAUACUGGAUACGAGACGUGAUCGCAUGGUCAACGUUUGGAAAGAUUUUUCGGUUGGGGAUGGGCUCGCGGCCUAUCAGCUUGUUGGUGAGGUAAUGGCUCACCAAGGCGUCGACGGGUAGCCGGCCUGAGAGGGUGACCGGCCACACUGGGACUGAGACACGGCCCAGACUCCUACGGGAGGCAGCAGUGGGGAAUAUUGCACAAUGGGCGCAAGCCUGAUGCAGCAACGCCGCGUGAGGGAUGACGGCCUUCGGGUUGUAAACCUCUUUUAGCAGGGAAGAAGCGAGAGUGACGGUACCUGCAGAAAAAGCACCGGCUAACUACGUGCCAGCAGCCGCGGUAAUACGUAGGGUGCAAGCGUUAUCCGGAAUUAUUGGGCGUAAAGAGCUCGUAGGCGGUUUGUCGCGUCUGCUGUGAAAUCUGGGGGCUCAACCCCCAGCCUGCAGUGGGUACGGGCAGACUAGAGUGCGGUAGGGGAGAUUGGAAUUCCUGGUGUAGCGGUGGAAUGCGCAGAUAUCAGGAGGAACACCGAUGGCGAAGGCAGAUCUCUGGGCCGUAACUGACGCUGAGGAGCGAAAGGGUGGGGAGCAAACAGGCUUAGAUACCCUGGUAGUCCACCCCGUAAACGUUGGGAACUAGUUGUGGGGUCCAUUCCACGGAUUCCGUGACGCAGCUAACGCAUUAAGUUCCCCGCCUGGGGAGUACGGCCGCAAGGCUAAAACUCAAAGGAAUUGACGGGGACCCGCACAAGCGGCGGAGCAUGCGGAUUAAUUCGAUGCAACGCGAAGAACCUUACCAAGGCUUGACAUAUACGAGAACGGGCCAGAAAUGGUCAACUCUUUGGACACUCGUAAACAGGUGGGUGCA